CUUCCUCUUGAUUAUAUUCCAGAGGUUUUCAAUUUGUUAAAACCAAAGAAACUCAUCAUUUUCCAGAUAAGUAAAUUGUCAUGUGGAGCAUUUAUUUACAGAAAGUAUUGAAAAAGAUGCAGAGCUUUCAGACCUUAAAUAAUGCAAAGAAAACAAGUUCAUAUUCAUGAAGUUUUAAGAGUUCAGAAAUCAAUAUUUGGUGGUUUCAACAACCCAUAGUGCUCUCCUCCACCAGUCUUACACACUGCUUUUAGGUGAACUUAUGCUUAUUACACUCCCGGCCACAAGAACAGGGUAAAAGGAGGCUGAUGAUAAUAAAGUAUAUAGAAAAACCGGUGUUUUCUGUUUUGACUAAAUCUCUCUCUCUCUCCCUCUCUCUCUCUCUCUCUCCCUCUCUCUCUCUCUCUCUCUGUCUCUCCCUCUCUCUCUCUCUCUCAGUAAAUUCAGGCCGCAGUCGGAGCAGCAGAAUGAUAAUUUCUCUCUCUCCACCAUCGCUGAAGGCUCUCAGGCAAACGAAGAUACAGCUAAGCAGGAGGAGCCCAGCAAGUCCCCGACUAAAGAGGACGAGUCUCUGAACAUCCAGAACUCCCUGACCCCCAAACUGGAGAACAACAAGUCCGGCGGAGAAGAGAACGCCGAGGAGGUAAACUCUCUGCAGAACAACAUGAUGUAGUAUCGACCUCCGGCCACAGGGGGCGCCGUGACCAGCAGCAGAGCUCAGCCUGACCAAACACACUGCCCCCUACCACUGUACACUGUAACAGCAGAUCACUGCAGCGCCAUCGACCCAGAAAUUAAAACCCUGCUGUUAAAAAUGACACACGGUAAAAACACAAUACACGCACGAGGGAUGCACCAUUAUAUCUGAUAUGGGAAUCUCUUAUCUGUAUUGGCUAAUAAUCGCUUUUUAAAUUAAUCGUGCUGAACAGACCGAAGCUUAAAUGUAGCCAAAUGAUUAAACCGAUGUUUGAUAAUGCAAUUUUUAUUGGAAAUCAGUGAUAUUCAACAAAUAUUUGCAAAAAAAAUUACAACAAAAUUAAUGCUAGAUUUGAUGAACAAUAAUGAUGCAGGACAAUAUCGAGAGUUUAUAUACUUGCGGAUGUAUUUAAUGUAUGCUUUAAAAGGACCAAGCAAUGCUGGUUGAGUUACUUUUAAAUCUAAAAUCCACUGAUGUGACCUAUUUUAAAUUUAUUUGUCUUAGUUUUAAAGUUGCAAAGUUUUACCGAGGUGUCUAGCCUCUGUAAGUUAUGAACUAUUGUAAUGGCUCCCAGUAGCAGUAAUGCUAAACUAGUUUACUGUUGAAAAAUAUACAGGUACAAACAUACGCUUUUAAAAGUAAAGGCAUAUCCUGGUCAAGUAAUUAGUUACUGUUUUUAAAUUGUGAUUUUAUCCAAAUGUGUUUAUUGAACUCAAUCAUGCACAACAGUACUAAAAUACACAAACUCACGUACUCAGUUGGGAAAGAGUAGUAUCUAUGCAUCCCUAAUACAUACAUAUAUCAAAAACAUGGCGUCACAUCAAUGUAAAAAAAAUUGGGUGUGCAAAAAUUUAACCUGUGAGUUUAAACAUUUUUGCAUGUGGGCUGAGCGCAAUUGUGAGCCUUACAGCACACAAAAAAAAAGAAAUUGUGUGCUCUGAACAAAAUAUCACUCUCAAGCUAAAAAAAGAUGACUGAGGGUAAGAAAAAAGGACAGCGGGAAAUUUAGCUAGCUAUGCUAAAAGCUAAACUCUGGGUUUAUCUAAAAAACAAACAAAAAAAAUAGUAAUAAUCUAGGGCUACAUGUUUCUGUUAGCCACUUUGCUCCGUCUUUCUGUCUUAAAGCUGGUUAUUAUAAAAAGUGUAACUGUGGAUUAUUACUAUUAUUAUUCAGAUAAACCCAGAGUUUUGAUUUUAGCAUAGCUAGCUAACUCUCAUGCUGUCCUACUUUGCAUUUUAGAAGCAGGCUGUUCCAUCAAAAAGCCUGGAGAUAUCAGCCAAUAGCAUUAGCUGAGGGAGNAAGCAGAGAUGUUUAAAACUGAUCAUCUUAACUAGAGGAGAUACUUUGAAGAAUGUAAAAUAUAAAACAUAUUCUGGUUUGUUUAAAACUUUUUUUUUUACUAAAUAAUUCCAUAUGUUUUUCUUCAUAGUUCGGAUGAUUUUAGUAUUUAUCUACAAUGCAGAACAUUUGAUUUUUGGCAUCUGGCCUUCAAAUCCUCAGAUCUGAUCUAAAGUCUCGGGUACUGAUUAUUGGCAAUAAAUGCUUAUUUAGGAGCUCCUGGUACUCUUGU
ensembl:lncRNA